rnacentral:rRNA from 1 species
AUUAAAAAAUUUAUUUUAUAAAUUAAUUUAUUUUGUAUUAAUUAAAAAAUUUUAAGUUUUAUUAUUAUUCUUAUUAAAAAAUAUUAUUAAUUAUAGUUUAAAGUAUUGAAAAAAAAUAAAAAUAAAUUUUUAAAAGAAAAUUUUAAUUAUUGUACCUUGUGUAUCAGGGUUUAUUAAAUUUAGUUUAAUUAUUUUAAUAGUCUCGAAUUUAAAAGAUCUAAGUAAAUAUAUAUAUUAUUGUAAAAUAAAUAUUUAAAAUAUUUAUUUAGUAAUGAAAUGUUAAGCGUUUUUAAAUAUAUCUAGUUUUUUAAGAAAUAAAUUUAAUUUACAAAUUAAUUUAUUAUAGUUUUAUUUUAUUAAUAUUAUAAUUAUUAAUUUUUUAUAUUUAAGGGGAUAAGCUUUUAAAUAAAAUUUUAAAAAUUAAUUUAUUAAAAAUAAUAUAUAGAAUUAGAAUUUUUUAUUUUUAAAAUAAUGUUAUAAUUAAUUAUUUAAUUGAAUAUAAUAUUUAUAUUAAUUUUAAGUUUUUUAUUAAAAAAAUAAUUUUUUUUAUAAAAAUUAUUAUAUAAUGAUAAAAUUAGUAUAAUUUAAUUUAAAUUUAUAUUUAUUUAUAAAAUUAAUAUUAAGGAAUUCGGCAAAAUAUUUUUUACCUGUUUAUUAAAAACAUGUCUUUUUGAAUUUAAUUUAAAGUCUGACCUGCUCAAUGAAUUUAGUUUAAAUAGCCGCAGUAUUUUGACUGUGCAAAGGUAGCAUAAUCAUUAGUUUUUUAAUUAAAAGCUGGAAUGAAGGGUUUGAUAAAAAAAUAACUGUCUCAAUAUUAUUGAAUUAGAAAUUUAUUUUUAAGUAAAAAAGCUUAAAUUUUUUAAAAAGACGAGAAGACCCUAUAGAGUUUAAUAUAAAAUUUAAUUAUGUUUUUUAGAAUUUAAUAAGUUAAUUAAUAAUUUAUAUUUUAUUGGGGUGAUAAAAAAAUUAAAUAAACUUUUAUAAAAAAAAAUAUUAAUGAAUAAUUAAAUGAUCCUAAAUUUUAGAUUAUAAGAAAUAAUUACCUUAGGGAUAACAGCGUAAUUUUUUUAAAGAGUUCAAAUCGAAAAAAGAGAUUGCGACCUCGAUGUUGGAUUAAAGAAAAUUUUUAAUGUAGAAGUUAAAAUUAUAGGUCUGUUCGACCUUUAAAUCUUUACAUGAUCUGAGUUUAAACCGGUGUAAGCCAGGUUGGAUUCUAUCUUUUAAUAUAAAUUAAUAUUUUAGUACGAAAGGACCAAAUAUUAAAAUAAAAUUUUAUUUUUGAAUUAAUUU